ACACGAUCUCACUUUGUCCUCGGAUGUUCAUCAUGUGAUCUUUUAUCAACGCAACUGUGGUGGGGCCCUUGCUAACUUGCUCCCGUGUGAACCUAUGCUUGCCUACAUGUGGUAAAGCGGAAACACUGUGAACACUUCUGACCUUGUCUUUUCAAUUUUAGGCAGGUGACGAAGUUGAAUUGGUCCUCAGGAGCAGAUGUUCAAGGAACCCUGCCUAUGCUCCAUGCCAGCUGCCAGUCCUUAGGUUGGGAGAUUCCACUGGAGACAUCCAUGGGAGAGCUAUGGCCAUUAACAAGUCCUGAGACCUGACCUGAAGCCAUCAGUGGCCCAGCUGCUCUACCUGACUUUGUUGCCUCUUCCUGGAUCUCUCGCUUAUGACAACCGACGACAAAGAUGUUUGACUCCAGAAGAUGCUCCCCGCGGCCCACCUGAGAGGACUCUCCAUACCCCACCCCACUGCCAUCUACCUCUGAGUCCCCAACUCAUAGCCCCUGCUUCUCAUCCAUGUUUCAACUCCCACCCCAGAGCCUUGUAUUCCAGAUCUGAGCAGCCCUUGCUUAGGAACCUGAGGUGGGGGUGGGUAGGCAGACCCAGGGGACUGAGCAGGGAGGGGAAGGAGGGGUUUCUGCUCUUGGCUUUCAAAGUUCUCAGUGUGUGUAGCCCUUUGAAUAAUAAACAUAUAUCAUAUAAUGUAAA
rnacentral:lncRNA from 1 species